rnacentral:lncRNA from 1 species
AUAAAGCUCUCUUGCCAGGGCGUGACAUAAUUAGAUGGCUGCCGUAACUAGAAACUGGAGGCAACGAAGAAAACCCCAGAGGGAUAAAGAGAGGGUGUGAAGAUGGCGUGAGUGAAAGAAAAACACCAUGUGACCUGCCAACAGGAAACGUUUCUUCCAUGACCAUCCCUCUAUCCUCCUCUCACUGUACGCGCCUAACAGCACUGAUACGUCCAGCAGGGGUUAAUAUGUUACAUCCCUAAUGGCACCCUAGUCAAUAUAGUGCACUACUUUUGACCAGGGCCCUAGGGACGCUGCCUUAGGCCGGGAUACAAUCGCUGCCUCGGGGGAACAUAACAAGAAGUCCGCUAUGACCUCUGUGGGAACAUUACUUCAUCCCCGACAACCCAGGAGGCUACAGCUGAGGACAGGAACAUUACUUACCCAGACACCAGGAGGCUACAGCUGAGACAGGAACAUUACUUACCCAGACAAACCAGGAGGCUACAGCUGAGGACGAACAUUACUUAUCCCAGACAACCAGGAGGCUACAGCUGAGGACAGGAACAUUACAUUUCACAGACAACCGGAGGCUACAGCUGAGGACAGGAAUUACUUAUCCCAGAACACCAGGAGGCUACAGCAGGACAGGAACUUACUUAUCCCAGACAACCCCUGUAGCUACGCUGAGGACAGGAACAUUACUUAUCCCAGAACAACCCGGGGCUACAGCUGAGGACCAGGAACAUUACUUAUCCCAGACACACCGGAGGCUACAGCUGAGGCAGGAACAUUACUUAUCCCAGACAACCCGGAGGCUACGGCUGAGGACAGGAACAUUACUUAUCCCAGACAACCCGGAGGCUACAGCUGAGGACAGGAACAUGACUUAUCCCAGACAACCCUGUAGCUACAGCUGAGGACAGGAACAUUACUUAUCCCAGACAACCCUGAAGCUACGGCUGACGACAGGAAUAUUACUUAUCCCAGACAACCCUGAAGCUACGGCUGACGACAGUAACAAGUAGAAGAAGUUCCGCUAUGACCACUGCAGUCAUCAGACGAGCAAAAGGACAAUUUAGGUGGAAUCAUAUUUCACAGGCUCUGACGCCCGCAGUAUGUUGCAGGGGCUACAGUCCAUUACGGUUUACAAAGGAAGACCCAGCCGUGAUCUACCCAGCGAUGCCUCUCUACAAGACCAACUCAGUGCAUUUUAUGAACGCUUCAACAAUAACAACAUUUGUGCCGGGUGUGAGGUUUGCCAACCGACCCUGAAGAUUUGGUGAUCUCACUCUCCGAGGCCAAUGUGAGAUUGUCCUCGUUGUCCAAAUCACUAAGGAAUUAACAUG